rnacentral:rRNA from 1 species
GACGAACGCUGGCGGCGUGCUUAACACAUGCAAGUCGAGCGAGAAACUUCGGUUUCUAGCGGCGGACGGGUGAGUAACACGUGGGCAACCUGCCUCACAAUGGGGGAUAGCCUUCCGAAAGGAAGAUUAAUACCGCAUAACACAAAGGAAACGCAUGUUUCUUUUGCCAAAGAAUUUCGUUGUGAGAUGGGCCCGCGGCGCAUUAGCUUGUUGGUGAGGUAACGGCUCACCAAGGCGACGAGGCGUAGCCGACCUGAGAGGGUGAUCGGCAACAUUGAAACGGAGCAACGGUCCAGACUCCAAGGGGAGGAAGCAGUGGGGAAUAUUGCACAAUGAAGGAAACUCUGAUGCAGCAACGCGGCGUGGGUGAUGAAGGUCUUCGGAUUGUAAAACUCUGUCUUCUGGGACGAUAAUAACGGUACCAGAGGAGGAAGCCCCGGCUAACUACGUGCAGCAGCCGCCGUAA